AGCCAGAGGAUCCUUCCACCUCACCUCUGCUGUCUCCCUUUUGCUCAACCACAAGUCCCAAAAUAAAAAUCUUGUCUGGGAAAUCUGCUUGGCCCUGUGUUAACUUCUGUUACAUGGGAGCCAAAGAGCCUGUGGUCUGUAACAGGUUCUCUGGCAACCAUGACGGGAUUAUAGGACGUGGUGAGCAUUUUUCUCCAAGGAGGAGGCUUGUGAGCCAGCAUGAUGGCGGGGUGUGCCUGCCUCCUUCAUGGGUGACAGGUGGUCACCUGAAUCUUUGAUUCAGCAUUGCCACAACUGCAUGGCUUGGCCCCCACAGCUAUGGCACAGGGAGCAGGGUCAUCAAAAUCCACUCUGCUCUUCCAGAAGCUGCAGAGAGAGGGAACCCUAAAACCUGACAUGCCAGAAAAGAUGGAGUUUUGCUCUUGUUGCCCAAGCUGGAGUGCAAUAGCGCAAUCUCGGCUCACUGCAACCUCUGUCUCCCAGGUUCAAGUGAUUCUCGUGCCUCAGCCUUCCAAGUAGCUGGGGUUGCAGGCAUGCACCACCACACCCCACUAAUUUUUGUAUUUUUAGUAGAGAUGGGGUUUCACCAUGUUGGCCAGGCUGGUCUCAAACUCCUGACUUCAGGUGAUCCGUCUGCCUCAGCCUUCCAAAGUGCUGGGAUUACAGGCGUGUGCCACCACGCCCGGCCUGAUUACCAGAUUUUCUUGUUGAUUGUGUCAUUAGUCAUGGCUAUCCUAAGACUUUUGCCAUCCACAGACAAUUGUUAUCUUGUUUUGAUUCUUUUCAAAAGGCAGUUUAUAAUCAGCUAUAGAACUCUGACAGGUGUUCUUGAAAGCAAGUCUCUGAUAACUUUGGAGAUUGGACUAUUAGAAUAGAGGAAAAAACUUCUAAGACUUUCCUGGAGAUGUUACAUGUUAAUAAAUAUUGAGUGGAACAAGAGUUAAUUGCAUGGACUAAACUAAUAGAAAAUCGAAAUAAUCUUUUUAUAAAUUUCCUGAAAUUCUGCUGAUCCUUUUUGUUUUGGUUUUCAGAGUCAAGAAAACUUUUUUCCUGUUGAACUAGUUAUAUCUUUUAACAAUUAACUACUAUAUAUUCCUAUAAGCAAAUUUGGAGCAUGUUUCUUUCUACCUGAUUUCUUUAGAAUUUGGAAACUAUUUGUGACUAUUCUUAACUUAUGGCAAUAUAGUUAUUUGCAUAAGUUCAAUAAGAAUCUGUUUUCUUUUGUAACAGAACACAAGUGGGGACACUGGCUAUUUUACCAGGCUUUUGACUGAAAUGGCAUGCUUCCAACUGCUUUAAAAAUUUGAGGUUGACUUAUAAAGCCGAUAAAAAGCCCCUUGGAGAAACUGGCCUCAUACCUUGUCUAUGCAGUCCCUGUAUAGAGUAAAAAAUGUCACUUUCUAACAGGUUCUGGAACUCCAAGUUGUAUUGGGACCUUAAGAGGGGAGGAAUUCACACAAUUCAUACAAGUAUUUAUAGGGACAGAUAAAUCAGUGGCUAGGUUCAAGGCUUUAAAAAGUCUAAGCUAAGGUUCCUUACAGAACAAAGUUCCCGCAAAAUAAAAAAUAUAUAUAUAUGAGAGUCUAUACGACAAAUAAUUAUUCUUGCUGCACUUUAUGCAAAUAAUCAGGCCAAGUAUAAUAAGACUAAAACUUAAUUGCAAACAAAUCAGUACUACCAUGAUUUGUCUUUGAUAAAAGUGAAACUGGAGACAAAAAGACCAUAACAUACCUGUUGUUAGAUUCUAGUCUUGUCCAUUGUUAUUGAGUUUUAAAAUAUUAUUUUCUAUGCAACAAAUAUCCAAGCUAACAUUUUCAAGUUUUUCUUCCAUUUUUCUGAGUUAAACACAAUAAAAUUGCUAGUAUCUCUUUUCUAAGGCCCUGCAGACUAAAGUUUAUUUCUUAUAACACAGGCAAGAAAAAUGUGUCAGAUUGCCAGCAUCUUCCUCCUCUGUAACUAAAGAUGCUUUGAGUGUAACGUCUGGGUAGAUUAUGCCCACGAUUAAUGUUUGUUUUUCUUCUGGUUCCAUAUAAAUGCCUCUUAUU
rnacentral:lncRNA from 1 species